AACGAACGCUGGCGGCAUGCCUAACACAUGUAAGUCGAACGAGACCUUCGGGUCUAGUGGUGCACGGGUGCGUAACGCGUGGGAACCUGCCCUUAGGUUCGGAAUAACUCCCCGAAAGGGGUGCUAAUACCGGAUAAUGUCUUCGGACCAAAGAUUUAUCGCCUUUGGAUGGGCCCGCGUUGGAUUAGCUAGUUGGUAGGGUAAAAGCCUGCCAAGGCGACGAUCCAUAGCUGGUCUGAGAGGAUGAUCAGCCACAAUGGGACUGAGACACGGCCCAGACUCCUACGGGAUGCAGCAGUGGGGAAUAUUAGAGAAUAGGGGAAAGCCUGAUCCAGCAAUGCCGCGUAAGUGAUGAAGGCCUUAGGGUUGUAAGGCUCUUUUACCCGGGAUGAUAAUGAGAGUACCGGGAGAAUAAGCUCCGGCUAACUCCGUG
rnacentral:rRNA from 1 species